rnacentral:rRNA from 1 species
AUUGAACGCUGGCGGCAUGCCUUACACAUGCAAGUCGAACGGCAGCACGGGGCAACCUGGUGGCGAGUGGCGAACGGGUGAGUAAUGCAUCGGAACGUACCUUUCAGUGGGGGAUAACGUAGCGAAGGUUACGCUAAUACCGCAUAUUCUGUGAGCAGGAAAGCCGGGGAUCGCAAGACCUUGCGCUGAUUGAGCGGCCGAUGUCAGAUUAGCUAGUUGGUGAGGUAAAGGCUCACCAAGGCGACGAUCUGUAGCGGGUCUGAGAGGAUGAUCCGCCACACUGGAACUGAGACACGGUCCAGACUCCUACGGGAGGCAGCAGUGGGGAAUUUUGGACAAUGGGGGCAACCCUGAUCCAGCCAUGCCGCGUGCGUGAAGAAGGCCUUCGGGUUGUAAAGCUCUUUCGGCCGGGAAGAAAUCGCACGGGCUAAUACCCUGUGUGGAUGACGGUACCGGAAUAAGAAGCACCGGCUAACUACGUGCCAGCAGCCGCCGUAACAC